CCUGGGUAAUUAAAACCCCAGAAACUACAGUGUUAAUACUAGGAUGGAUAAUUACACCAAUGGAUCAGGAUCAGAAGCCUUGAAAGAGAGACUCACACAUGUGUGGAGGCUGGGUCUGCUACAGAGGUGGAACUGCAGAUCUGUGAGGGGAAGAACAGAUUGUGCAAAAUGUGUUGUUAGCCACUAAGACUGUUGGAAGCUGGCGUGCAAACAAAACAUUCGUACAGAAAUGUUCGCGGCAUAGCCACUCACAACAGCCAAAGAGUGGAAUCAGCCCAUGUCCGUCAACAGUGCACUGGAUAAACCGAAUGUGUCCUGUCCUUGCCCUGGAAUAUUACACAGCUUCAGAAGGAAUGGAGUGCUGCGACCUAGUGCAACAGGGGCGAACUUUGAAAACAAGGUGCUGCGUGAAGGAAGCCAGACUCAGAACACCAUGUAUUGUAUACCUUCAUUUAUCUGAAAUGUCCAAAAUAGGUGAAUUCAUAGAGACAGGAAGCAGGGUCACGACAUUCUGCUUAGAUGGAUGUGGCUGGGAGGAGCUCCUCAGGAGGGCAGCGAUUCCUCAGCUCCUGGCUCUCAACAUGUCUUAGUGAAGGUGAUGGUUGGAUCACACGCCACCCGCUCCCCGUGCAGCCAGGCCUGGGGCAAUCUCCUAUUAUGCACCUUGGAGCAUCCGUGAACAAAUGAGUGAAUGAAGGAAAAGGUUUACACCUGGCUCCUAAAGGUCAUCUCAUUUCCAGAGCAGAAGUCGCUGCAGUCCUGAGAACCCCGGAGCUGUCAGUGGAAGCCCCCGCAGAGAUGCUCCCACCCCGCCUGUCUCUCCCAGCUGGGCUCUUUGGGAAAUACACUGUUCCUCCGAGAAGCUCAGUGUCUUUACUUGUAAAGCAAGGAAUCCUGCCUCUCAGGAUUCAAUGGCUGGGACACAUGACAGUAUGUGACUCCUGUGAUGAUAUGUCAGGGCACUGAGGCAUGAGCCGCAAGAGGUGGAAUGUCAGGAACUGUAAUGGGCACCCGGGGAGGUACAGGGCGGGGUGGGGGGGUGCACUUUUGGACCAUCUCAUUUCACAGCUGUGGGCCACAGCCAUCUUCUCCAACCCAAGAAUCCAGCCCGUCUCUCUUUGCAAAGGAAGGUGUGGGGCGGAGAUGAUCUCUAUUUCGAAUGCUUGGCGCAUGGCUGGUUUCCCUCCAUCCUGCUCAUGGUGCAUGCUGGGGUCCUGGACAAAACUGAAUUGUUGCCUUAAUCAUGGAUCAUUUCUGGAGAUGCCAUUGUUUUUAUCUGCCUUGCAGUUGACUAUAACUGUGGCUCCUUUCCUUUGUAAAGCGAGUGCAAUUCAUGUAAGAUAUUUAUUGAGCGUCAACUAAGUGCCAAACUGUUCACAAGCCGUUCAUGGGUUGCAUGUGGGUCACUGCGCAUGGAAGCCUUGUGGAUAGAGACAUCUGGUGUCUGGGAAUAACCAGUGGACAUUUCCUCUGGCCAAUUGUCCAGGGACAAUGUGAAUCUCUUUCCCGCCCUGCUGUGGCCCGCACUGCACCUGACAUAGGUGUGACCUGCCAAGAAGUCAAUCAGCCUGCUGACUGUAAGACUUCAGGAAGCAAGACUCUGCCCUUGAAACCUUAUCUCUGCCUUUGAGGUACCCUUUAAAUAAACCACUGUAGCCAUUUUCCCUUUGUCUAGCUCCAGAACCCAUGUGGACUAGAUCUAUUAGGAGCUUCACAUUAUGUAAACAUA